ACACUCCACUGACCGGGGAGAGAGCAUGAUCACAAAGGCGGUUUUCCCAGGUUGAGGCUUCUCCGUUGUGCUCUGGACAUUCGGACCUGUGCAACUUCCCAAAUGUGAGAUUCUAACUGCAUUGUUUAUGGUAGUGGGGGUCUAUAGUAUCUGGGCUGGCCCGAU
rnacentral:snRNA from 1 species